rnacentral:rRNA from 1 species
UACGGAGGAUGCAAGCGUUAUCCGGAUUUAUUGGGUUUAAAGGGUGCGCAGGUUGUUUGAUAAGUCAGUGGUGAAAGUCUGUCGCUUAACGGUAGGAUUGCCAUUGAUACUGUUGGACUUGAAUAUGGAUGAGGUAGGCGGAAUGUGUAGUGUAGCGGUGAAAUGCGUAGAUAUUACACAGAACACCGAUUGCGAAGGCAGCUUACUAAUCCAUCAUUGACGCUGAGGCACGAAAGCGUGGGGAUCAAACAGGAUUA